rnacentral:lncRNA from 1 species
AAAUAUCCGCAAUUCGGCCCAAAAAUACCGAGACAAACGGCAAUAAAUACAUGGCGCGUAUGGGAAAUGGUUCGGUGCCACGGAAAAUUUCGAGUCAGCCGAUUUUUCGAGAUAUGCGAGUUCGAGUUAACGAGGUAUCUGUAUCUCUACAUG